AGUGAACGCUGGCGGUAGGCCUAACACAUGCAAGUCGAACGGCAGCACAGUAAGAGCUUGCUCUUACGGGUGGCGAGUGGCGGACGGGUGAGGAAUACAUCGGAAUCUACUUUUUCGUGGGGGAUAACGUAGGGAAACUUACGCUCAUACCGCAUACGACCUACGGGUGAAAGCAGGGGAUCUUCGGACCUUGCGCGAAUGAAUGAGCCGAUGUCGGGUUAGCUAGUUGGCGGGGUAAAGGCCAACCAAGGCGACGAUCCGUAGCUGGUCUGAGAGGAUGAUCAGCCACACUGGAGCGGAGACACGGUCCAUGGUCCUACGGGAGGCAGCAGUGGGGAAUAUUGGACAAUGGGCGCAAGCCUGAUCCAGCCAUACCGCGUGGGUUAAGAAGGCCUUCGGGUUGUAAAGCCCUUUUGUUGGGAAAGAAAAGCAGCAGGUUAAUACCCCGCUGUUCUGACGGUACCCAAAGAAUAAGCACCGGCUAACUUCGUG
rnacentral:rRNA from 1 species